GACGAACGCUGGCGGCGUGCCUAAUACAUGCAAGUAGGACGCAGUUGCGAACGGGUGAGUAACGCGUAGGUAACUACCUAUUAGAGGGGGAUAACUAUUGGAAACGAUAGCUAAUACCGCAUACUAGUAGAUGGACCUGCUUUUUAUUAGCGAGUAGGUAGGGUAAUGGCCUACCUAGGCAACGAUCAAUAGCCGACCUGGGAGGGGGAACGGCCCCACGGGGACUGCGACACGGCCCGAACUCCUACGGGAGUCAGCAGUAGGGAAGCUUCGGCAAUGGGGGGAACCCUGACCGAGCAACGCCGCGUGAGUGAAGAAGGUUUUAGGAUCGGAAAGCUCUGUUGUUAAGGAAGCGGUACUUAACCAGAAAGGGACGGCUAACUACGUGCCAGCAGCCGCGGUAAUAC
rnacentral:rRNA from 1 species